GACCAAGAGUUUAUAGACGGGGUUAACUGAGACUGGAAAACACAGUCUGAGGAUGAGAAUACCAUCCUGUGGCAUCCUCAAGAUACUGGCCUGAAUAAAAGAAAGAAGUGGACUGAACACCAACAUUCAUCCCUCUCUGCUUCCUGACCAUAGAUGCAAUGUGACCCAUGUGUCUGCCACCAUGCCUUCUCCAUGCUGGGAUGUACCCUCAAACUGGGAGCCCACACUUCCAUCUGCAACUGGCUCCAGCAAUCCAGAUGGAGCAUUCAUUCAUUCGCUCAUUCAUUCAUUCACCACACACUCUGGAUAUGGGGAGACCAAAGAAUGAACCCUUGUAUUCUGGAAGCUCAGAGGAGCUGGCUGUGUUCUCCACUGUGCCAGCAGAGGUCUGUUCUUGGACCCUGUGCUGUCUACUUCAUGGAUGAUGCUAGAAGCCUUUAUCUCAGCUCUGCAG